AGUCCAGACUCCUACGGGAGGCAGCAGUGGGGAAUAUUGCACAAUGGGGGAAACCCUGAUGCAGCGACGCCGCGUGAGUGAUGAAGUAUUUCGGUAUGUAAAGCUCUAUCAGCAGGGAAGAAAAUGACGGUACCUGACUAAGAAGCCCCGGCUAACUACGUGCCAGCAGCCGCGGUAAUACGUAGGGGGCAAGCGUUAUCCGGAUUUACUGGGUGUAAAGGGAGCGUAGACGGUCCUGCAAGCCAGAUGUGAAAGCCCGGGGCUCAACCCCGGGACUGCAUUUGGAACUGUAAGGCUAGAGUGUCGGAGAGGCAGGCGGAAUUCCUAGUGUAGCGGUGAGAUGCGUAGAUAUUGGGAGGAACACCAGUGGCGAAGGCGGCUUACUGGACUGUAACUGACGUUGAGGCUCGAAAGCGUGGGGAGCAAACAGGAUUAGAUACCCGUGUAC
rnacentral:rRNA from 1 species